AUAUAGCUUUAUAUGUCUCUAAGUCAGUCUAACUACCUCUAAAUCUUUUUUUUACUUUACUCUAUAUAGUUCUUCCUUGUUUCUUUGAACAUUACUGUUGAGAGAAAAAAAAAAUGUUAGAAUCUGUGGUGGAGUUCAUAACUGAAGCAGCUUCAAGCACUUGUUUCAUCUUCUGUUUCUGCAAUUUGAUCUUCAUACUCAUUAUCCUUGUGGACUUGAAGCCAAGCCUCAUAAGUUUUGAUCAACAAAAAAUUGAUCAACUCCAUCAUCAUAUUCAUCAUCACCCCAUCAACACAGGUACACAAGGAACAACAACUUCCAAGUUUCUACUCAGCAAAAACAAACCAACUCAACAAGAUGAACCUGAAAAUGCAGAAGAGAAGAAAACAGAAUCUGAAGGUAAUAAUGAUGAUGGUUUUGGUAAUAUGGAAGAGGAAGAAGAGGUUGAAGGGAAGGAUGAUGAGCUGAGGAGAAAGGUGGAAGAGUUUAUAGAGAGAGUUAACAAAGGUUGGAAAGCUGAAUAUUUUAGCACAUAAAUAAUAAUAAUAAUGUUUAUUUGUUGUGGGAAAUUUUCAUUAUUAAUUAGGCCUAAUUAAGGUUGGAGUAUCAUGAGAAAUCUUAUAGUAUUACACUAUUACUUACUAGUUUGUUCUUUAGUUUUUUUAAACAUUUUUAAUUAGAAUGCUUAUGAAAUUAAGAUUUUAGAGGAAAUUAAGUUGUUUAGGAGUGCCUUGAAGGUUUCUGUUGAACAAAAAAUGAAGCCAAUCGUGAUGAAAAUAUUAUGACUACAUUUUAUUUAUGUGUUUGUUUUUAAUGAAGAACUUGACUACUUGUCUACUUCAGAUUCAGCACAGAAAAGGUAGCAAAAAAGAAAGG